rnacentral:rRNA from 1 species
GAUGAACGCUGGCGGCGUGCUUAACACAUGCAAGUCGAACGGGAAAUAUUUCAUUGAGACUUCGGUGGAUUUGAUUUAUUUCUAGUGGCGGACGGGUGAGUAACGCGUGGGUAACCUGCCUUAUACAGGGGGAUAACAGUCAGAAAUGGCUGCUAAUACCGCAUAAGCGCACAGAGCUGCAUGGCUCAGUGUGAAAAACUCCGGUGGUAUAAGAUGGACCCGCGUUGGAUUAGCUAGUUGGUGGGGUAGCGGCCCACCAAGGCGACGAUCCAUAGCCGGCCUGAGAGGGUGAACGGCCACAUUGGGACUGAGACACGGCCCAGACUCCUACGGGAGGCAGCAGUGGGGAAUAUUGCAAAAUGGGGGAAACCCUGAUGCAGCGACGCCGCGUGAAGGAAGAAGUAUCGCGGUAUGUAAACUUCUAUCAGCAGGGAAGAUAGUGACGGUACCUGACUAAGAAGCCCCGGCUAACUACGUG